CUCACAGACACACAUAUACAAAGAAACACACACAGAUAAAUACUCCCAGACACACACAUACACAGUCAGAAACACACAUAGGCAAAUACUCCCAGACACACACAUACAAAGAAACACAGACAGAUAAAUACUCCCAGACACACACGCACAGUUACAUAGUCCCAGACACACACAUACACAGAAACACACACAGCUACAUACUCUCAGACACACACAGAUACAUACUCCCAGAUACA